ACAUCUGAGAAAGAUAUAUGCAAGGUCAGACAGAUAGCUAACCUGCCUUUCAGAAAGUUCUUCCUCCUCCUGGCUGUUUCAUUAGUUUGUGAGCUAAGAUUUUAUUAAAUGAAGGCCGAUUAUAAAAUAUUUGGUAGUGAAAGGUCUAUCCAGUCUGCAACUUCAAGGACAGUGGGACAGAGCCAGAAGUGAUGCUGACAUGACAAAAUGGGGAAGUCUUUCAUACAUGGAUGAGGAAAAAUGGACGAGGAAAAAAAUCUUCUUCCUUAAGUUUUGAAUAUGAGUCUUUCAAGAUGUG